GAUGAACGCUGGCGGCGUGCUUAACACAUGCAAGUCGAACGAUGAAGCCCAGCUUGCUGGGUGGAUUAGUGGCGAACGGGUGAGUAACACGUGAGUAACCUGCCCUUAACUCUGGGAUAAGCCUGGGAAACUGGGUCUAAUACCGGAUAGGAGCGUCCACCGCAUGGUGGGUGUUGGAAAGAUUUAUCGGUUUUGGAUGGACUCGCGGCCUAUCAGCUUGUUGGUGAGGUAAUGGCUCACCAAGGCGACGACGGGUAGCCGGCCUGAGAGGGUGACCGGCCACACUGGGACUGAGACACGGCCCAGACUCCUACGGGAGGCAGCAGUGGGGAAUAUUGCACAAUGGGCGAAAGCCUGAUGCAGCGACGCCGCGUGAGGGAUGACGGCCUUCGGGUUGUAAACCUCUUUCAGUAGGGAAGAAGCGAAAGUGACAGUACCUGCAGAAGAAGCACCGGCUAACUACGUG
rnacentral:rRNA from 1 species